rnacentral:misc_RNA from 1 species
GUAGCAGGGCAAUCUAGAGCAAUACAUUGGGAAACUUGCACCAACUCUUCCAAUCCAGGAUCAAUUGCUUGGUUGACUAUUACUGCUUCAAAACCAGAACUUCCACGGUUUGUUUCUAGAUCUGUGAGAGAUGGCAUUUUUCCUUGGACUGCUGGACUUGUGGAGAGCACAUCAUAAAAACCAUCCAUUACUUUUUCCUCAUAAUCAAGCACAUUAUAUUCCCAAUACUGCCUUGACAA